GUGAAUUAUAAAUAUAUUCCUACAAAGUUUAACUUUUAUAUAUUAUCCCUGUAAAAAUUCUGAUAUUUUUAAAUAUAUUCCUAGCGUUAUGAUUGAUUCGUUAGAAAAAAUUGGUUAACCAUAGGUAAAAUACAUAACCCUAGUUAGUUAAUGAUGUGAAUUGAUAUUUUUUUCCCGCUUUAAUUAACCGUUAGGACUUUUGGAGGGAUAUAUUUGUGAUGACAAAAAGGUCAUUUCACUUAUAAAAUAAACAAUGCUUUAAUGGUAACAAAAUAGAGAGACAUAUUUUAAAAUAUAAGGACUUUUGUAAGGACAAUAUAUGAAAGUUGAACUUUGUAGAGAUAUAUUUGUAAUUCACUAUCUUUGCAGAGACCUAUAUGAAAUUAACCCAAAAAAUAUUACUAAUACUCACCAAUAUCGCUCUAAUUAGAAAUAAUAAUAAGGGACAAUAAUUAUCUAUAUACCCCUCAAAAUUUUUGAAAUAUCUGAUAUAUUCCUACUUUAGUUUUGUUUCAAAUAUACCCUCGUAUAUUUCUCCGUUAUUCAAAAAUAUCUCCGCUGCUAGUAUUCGUUAAGUUAUCUCAUAUUCGUUAAGUUAUCUCGUGUUAUAUUUGAAUUAAAUUUCUACCAGAGUUAAAAAGAAGUCAAAAUGGCUCUUUUGUCCUGACUUAAGGGAAAGUAAGAGAAGUUGGUGAUGGUAGAAGAGUAUGUUUAAAAGAGAAGAAGUCAAAAUACCUCGGCUUCAAGAUAAAUAAAAAAGUUGGUGACGAUAGAAUGGGUAUAUUUGAAAAGACAAAAUAGUAAUUUCACAGAAAUAACGAUUAUUUCUAAUAGUCCACUAACAUAAUUUAACUCUAGGGAUAUAUUUAAAAAUAGGAUAAGCAGCAUGGAACACCAAACAGGGGACAGUCAGGAGAGUGGAAGAAGAUUGACCGCGUUGCACUGUGAGCGGAAGGAGUUGCAUUGGUAUGAGGUACGUACUACACUGUUUGGAAUGUUGUUG
rnacentral:lncRNA from 1 species